AGCAGCCGCGGUAAUUCCAGCUCCAAUAGCGUAUAUUAAAGUUGUUGCAGUUAAAAAGCUCGUAGUUGAAUUUCGGGGUCAGUAGGUCGGUCGUGCCUAUGGUAUGUACUGGUCUCACUGAUUCCUCCUUCUUGAAGAACCGUAAUGUCAUUAACUUGGUGUUGCGGGGAAACAGGACUGUUACUUUGAAAAAAUUAGAGUGUUUAAAGCAGGCCAUCGCCUGAAUACAUUAGCAUGGAAUAAUGAAAUAGGACGUUCGAUCCUAUUUUGUUGGUUUCUAGGAUUGACGUAAUGAUUAAUAGGGAUAGUUGGGGGCAUUAGUAUUCAAUUGUCAGAGGUGAAAUUCUUGGAUUUAUUGAAGACUAACUACUGCGAAAGCAUUUGCCAAGGAUGUUUUCAUUAAUCAAGAACGAAAGUUAGGGGAUCGAAGACGAUCAGAUACCGUCGUAGUCUUAACCAUAAACUAUGCCGACUAGGGAUCGGAUGAUGUUAAUUUUUUAAUGACUCAUUCGGCGCCUUA
rnacentral:rRNA from 1 species